GAAUCAACAGAAUUUGUCUUUUUGUGACUGGUUUAUUUCGCUUAACUUCGUCCUCAAGGUUCAACUUAAACGUGUAUCCAUGUUGUAGCACAUGUCAGCAUUUUCUUUUGUUCUGAGGCUAAAUAGUAUUUCAUUGUGUGUGUACAGCACGUUUCAUGCAUUCAUUCAUCCCUUGACAGAUUGGUGGGUUGUUUCCUCCUUUUUGCUUUUGUGAACAGUGCUACGAACGUGCUUGUACAAACAUCUCUUGGAGCCCCACUAGCAGUUCCUUUGGGUAUAUACCCCAAAGUGGAAUUGCUGGAUCUGGUAGCUCCCUUUUUAAUUUUUUGAGGAAUCGCCACACAGUUUCCAUAACAGCCGCACCAUUUUACAUUCCCAAGACCUUUUUUUUUUUUUUUUUAAGAAGAAAAGAUGUGUUUCUGCAUUUCUGGAAGUCUACGCUGCAUUUCCAUUUGUUGAAAUUUAAGACCAGAGUCAUCUUUUCUGCUGUAAUUAUAAUGGUCACUGGCUUGUGCCUUUUCCUCCUCUCUCUGCCCCAUCUGCACGGGGUCUUUGAAGAAGUCCCAGCACCUUGGUGAACAAGCCCGUGUCCCUGGCCCAUCAUGGAAGCUGCUGCCUUUCAGAGUGGGACUCUGUACCCUGUUGCCUCAUUCCUUGCUGCGCCCAUGAGUGAGCUUGUGCCUGACGUCUCCUUCCAGGUGGACUUACACACUGGGCUGUCGGAGUUCUCGGUGACGCAGCGCCGGCUGGCCCAUGGCUGGAAUGAGUUUGUUGCUGACAACAGCGAACCUGUGUGGAAGAAAUACCUGGAUCAGUUUAAGAACCCCCUGAUCCUGCUGCUGCUGGGCUCUGCCCUGGUGAGUGUCCUCACCAAGGAGUAUGAGGACGCCGUCAGCAUCGCCACGGCAGUGCUCAUCGUGGUCACUGUGGCCUUCAUCCAGGAGUACAGGUCGGAGAAAUCUCUGGAAGAGCUGACCAAGCUGGUUCCUCCAGAAUGUAACUGCCUAAGAGAAGGAAAACUCCAGCACCUGCUUGCUCGAGAACUGGUUCCUGGUGAUGUCGUAUCUCUCUCGAUCGGAGACCGGAUCCCUGCAGACAUCCGACUCACUGAGGUCACGGACCUCUUGGUGGAUGAAUCCAGCUUCACCGGGGAAGCCGAGCCAUGUAGUAAAACAGACAGCCCCUUGACAGGCGGUGGGGACCUCACCACCCUCAGCAACAUCGUCUUCAUGGGGACCCUGGUGCAGUAUGGGAGGGGCCAGGGGGUCGUGAUUGGAACAGGGGAAAGCUCUCAGUUCGGAGAAGUGUUUAAGAUGAUGCAGGCUGAAGAGACACCUAAAACUCCUUUGCAGAAAAGCAUGGACAGGCUAGGAAAGCAACUGACACUCUUCUCCUUUGGCAUAAUCGGUCUCAUCAUGCUCAUUGGCUGGUUGCAAGGGAAACAACUCCUGAGUAUGUUCACGAUUGGGGUCAGCCUGGCUGUGGCGGCCAUUCCAGAGGGUCUGCCCAUCGUCGUCAUGGUGACGCUGGUCCUGGGAGUGCUGCGGAUGGCCAAGAAGCGGGUCAUCGUGAAGAAGUUACCCAUCGUGGAGACUUUAGGUUGCUGCAGCGUUCUCUGUUCUGAUAAGACGGGGACUCUGACUGCCAAUGAAAUGACAGUGACCCAGCUUGUAACGUCAGAUGGGCUUCGUGCCGAGGUCAGCGGAGUUGGGUAUGACGGUCAAGGGACUGUGUGUCUUCUACCAUCCAAGGAAGUCAUUAAGGAAUUUUCCAAUGUCUCAGUGGGAAAGUUAGUGGAGGCGGGCUGUGUUGCCAACAAUGCGGUCAUCAGAAAGAACGCCGUGAUGGGGCAGCCCACCGAGGGUGCAUUGAUGGCCCUGGCGAUGAAGAUGGACUUAAGUGAUAUUAAAAAUUCAUAUAUAAGAAAAAAAGAGAUUCCAUUCAGUUCAGAGCAGAAGUGGAUGGCGGUGAAAUGCAGUCUGAAGACUGAGGAUCAGGAAGACAUUUACUUCAUGAAAGGGGCCUUGGAAGAGGUGAUCCGCUACUGCACCAUGUACAACAACGGGGGCAUCCCCCUGCCGCUGACGCCCCAGCAGAGGUCAUUCUGCCUGCAGGAAGAGAAGAGGAUGGGGUCGCUCGGUCUGCGGGUGCUGGCCCUGGCUUCUGGGCCCGAGCUGGGGCGGCUGACGUUUCUAGGUCUUGUGGGCAUCAUCGACCCCCCGAGAGCUGGCGUGAAGGAAGCAGUCCAGGUUCUCUCCGAGUCUGGUGUGUCUGUGAAGAUGAUAACGGGAGAUGCCCUGGAGACGGCCUUGGCCAUAGGAAGAAACAUCGGCCUGUGCAACGGGAAGCUGCAAGCCAUGUCCGGGGAGGAGGUGGACGGCGUGGAGAAGGACGAGCUGGCCGACCGCGUGGGGAAGGUGUCCGUGUUCUUCAGGACCAGCCCAAAGCACAAGCUCAAAAUCAUCAAGGCUCUGCAGGAGUCAGGGGCGAUCGUGGCCAUGACUGGGGAUGGGGUGAACGACGCAGUGGCCCUGAAGUCUGCAGACAUUGGGAUCGCCAUGGGGCAGACAGGGACGGACGUCAGCAAAGAGGCCGCCAACAUGAUCCUGGUGGAUGAUGACUUCUCAGCCAUCAUGAAUGCAGUGGAGGAAGGCAAGGGGAUUUUUUACAACAUCAAAAACUUUGUCCGAUUCCAGCUGAGCACGAGCAUCUCUGCCCUGAGUCUCAUCACUCUGUCCACCGUGUUCAACCUGCCCAGCCCCCUCAACGCCAUGCAGAUCCUAUGGAUCAACAUCAUCAUGGAUGGGCCACCGGCGCAGAGCUUGGGGGUAGAGCCCGUUGACAAAGACGCCUUCAGGCAGCCACCACGGAGUGUGCGGGACACCAUCCUCAGCAGAGCCCUCAUCCUGAAGAUCCUCAUGUCCGCAGCCAUCAUCAUCAAUGGGACCCUGUUUAUCUUCUGGAAGGAGAUGCCUGAAGACAGAGCAAGCACUCCCCGCACCACGACGAUGACGUUCACUUGUUUUGUGUUUUUCGAUCUCUUCAACGCCUUGACCUGCCGCUCUCAGACCAAGCUGAUAUUUGAGAUCGGCUUUCUCAGGAACCACAUGUUCCUCUACUCCGUCCUGGGGUCCAUCCUGGGGCAGCUGGCAGUCAUUUACAUCCCCCCGCUGCAGAGGGUCUUCCAGACGGAGAACCUGGGAGCGCUUGAUUUGCUGUUUUUAACUGGAUUGGCCUCAUCCGUCUUCAUUUUGUCAGAGCUCCUCAAACUAUGUGAAAAAUACUGUUGCAGCCCCAAGAGAGUCCAGAUGCACCCUGAAGAUGUGUAGUGGACCUCACUCCGCGGCACCUUCCCUAAUCAUCUUGAUCUGGUUGUGACUGUGGCCCCUGCCAUGUCUCCUCUUCAGGGGAGACUUUUAGGAGGCCGCAGCCUUCCGUCACCGGAUCAGUUUUUCCUCUUCGGAAAGCUGCAGGAACCUCGUGGGCUCCAGGGACCCAGGCCCACAUCCAUCCAGCGUUCCCGCUGGCUGUGGGACAGACAGGGAGGGGCCUGUACAGAAACAUCACACUAUUUAUUAAAUCACAAUGAUUUUUAUU
rnacentral:sRNA from 1 species